rnacentral:rRNA from 1 species
UACGAGGGGGGCGAGCGUUGUUCGGAAUUAUUGGGCGUAAAGGGCGCGUAGGCGGUGCGGUAAGUCACCUGUGAAACCUCUGGGCUUAACUCAGAGCCUGCAGGCGAAACUACCGUGCUUGAGUGUGGGAGAGGUGCGUGGAAUUCCCGGUGUAGCGGUGAAAUGCGCAGAUAUCAGGAGGAACACCGGUGGCGAAGGCGCCACUCUGGGCCGAAACUGACGCUGAGGAGCGAAAGCGUGGGUAGCAAACAGG